AAUGUUUGUUUUAUGUCAAGCAUUUGCAAGCGAUUAGCUUGGAUUCUGAUCCUAUAUGUAUUAUUUUGUAGGAUAAUCCUAAAGAAUCUAGGGAUAUAACUUUUAUCUUGUUAAAGAAUAAAAGUUGUUCCGCAUUCUUUUUAGAAAAAGAGUACUUUGGUGAAAGAACUGAUGCCUUUGAUGUGAAACUUAUGAAAUUUGAUAGGUAGAAAAACUGACACAAUCUAAUGAACCCAUAGAAUCAGAUUUGAUUAGAUCAAACUAAAAAUCCAUUGGAGAGGCACCAUUAAGG
rnacentral:lncRNA from 1 species